GUGUGCGCUGCGCGGAGAUGGAGGAACAAGCGAGGCUCGUCGGGGGAGUUCCCUGUUGGAGUCUGGUGCCGACCGACCGACCGAGGCUUGUUGUUGUGUCCCACGGAGUAUGACUGUGGCUACAGACUGAAAUGGAGGAGUAGGUGUAAAGUACAAGCCUGUGAAGCUUUGACACUCUGGAGAGGAUGCACAGAAAGGGAGCUGGAUGAAGACAAAUGGACACAAUGCUUCGUGUUGCAGGGGGACAAUAAACAACAGCAGCUCGGUAUCAGUGGAAAACAGCAGAACUCGGCUGCAAGACAAAUGGACACGUGCAGAUGCAAGUUUGACUCGAAAACAAGCUGAGUAAAACAUGUGUUUAUGUACACAUGUGAAGCAUGUACACUUGCAGUACACACAUAUACUCGUGCGGUGCCUUCAUCUCAAUUUUUGAGAUUCGAUUGGCAAAGGGAUUGCAGCUUUUGAAAAUACAAACUCACUGUCUCCUCCAACUGCUGACAGAUAAAGAUCUAUAUCCUCUAACCUGAAGGUCUUCCCCAAAGUAUGAUUUGUGUCUGACCACACCUUCAAUCAGUCAUUUGUCUGUAACGCCUUCAGUAACUUUCAUCAAGAUCAUUUCUACCACCACAAACCGUCAGAGUUGUUUAAACCAGGGACUCUGAAUUUAUAACCACCCUAAACCUAAUUUACUUUGACAUCCUGUCCUACUUUAGCUCUCUCUCGCUGAUAAGCAAAUAUAUAUAUAUAUUUCGCCCCUAAACCAGAAAGAAUCCCAAAGAAAUAAGGAGGGGGUGUUUGUAAUCUCUUGGCUUUUUUAAACAUAAGAAUGUGCAAUUUUGCUGAAGGUGCUACUCACAAUUUUUUACAAACAAAUCAGCAAGAACUUGAUUGAACUGUCUCCCUUUUAUCCCUUUUUUCUCUGUAGCGGGACCUUUGCUUGUCAGAUACCGUUGAUAGUUCUCAUUCAUUGACCCGUACAGGUGUGAUGAGAGAACUGGAUGUGCAACAAGUCACUUUUCUAUAACCCUGACUUGGAAUAACUCACUAAAAAGGCAACACGUUACAGCUCUCACCGCUUUAUUUUAUAUUACAGCUUUAAAAUGCAAACCUCGUCUUAAUAUUGUAUAGGUCAAAAAGCAGAUUGGUGUCAAGUGUGCCAAGCUUUGAACAAACUAGGAUUUUUUUGGACCGGCUCCCUACAACUGAGAGACCAGACUGUACUGUACAAGGGUGAUAUCUCACUAACUCUCUACUUUUUACUAAAUCAAAUAAUUACUAAUUAAUACAAAUACAUUUUACCCUAAUAUUUCAAUAUAAUUUAAUUUGUUUAAUUUCAUCUAUUUUUCUAAAUUCUCUACUUAUCUCUUUCGAAUCAAAUUUUUGGAUCAUCUUAUGUUGCUCUCACAUUUUGUCAUGAUACUUUUUAUAUCUUUUAUAAGGCACAUCAAAUUGUCUUGCUGUUGAAAUAACUUUGCAAAUAAACUCGAGCAGCGUCGCUCUCAUCCCCUGUUGCCAGUGAUAUGAUCACUCUGCUCAAUAUUUAUUCAUCCUUUGUAUGUUGGUUCCACGAUUGACACAGUGUGGAAAUGUCCUGGGGCUGAAAGCUAGUAUCAGCUUAAUGGGAGAAUGGAGGCACAGUAGGUCCAUAAAGAUUGAAAUUGGUAAGGCAAGAUUAUUACUCCUCUCUCACUUUGUUUCAUAGCCUCAUCAAAUUGCAUUCAUUUAUAUCUGUUAUACAGAAUUGUUUCUCAUUAGCUGCCAGUACACAUGUUGCAAUUGAACAGUUCUGUAACCGAGUGUGUGCUCGUCCAUAAUCAUACAAAAUAAAAACUUGUUUAAUUUGGCAGUAGAAAGAAAGAACACUUUUUGUAUAAUACAGGGGGCUCUCAUAAAUCAUCUUUUACUCUUGAACAUAUAAAAAUCAUACAAAAACAUACAAAAAACAUGUAACAAAAACAUAAAUUCAUGUCUAUAUGUGUCAAUGCAUUAUUGAUACACCUGACAUUUAGGAGAACUGGUCUGACUUGGCCUAUAAUUUUGUUUUGAGAUCUGUUAUCACAGUAUACGUCAAUGUAAAACAAUUCCGAAGAAUACUGCGGUCCUGAAUGCAAAUCCUUCCCUCUGCCUUUCCAAGAACCUCCACAGCCUCGGUGAAAGCUUCCCAGCUCGCAGUGAGAUCCAUUGUGUAGAAUUUGUGUGGUGGCUGUUGAAGCGUGAUCAUUUAGGGAGAGAACGUGCAGCUCCUCAUCAACCCUCUCCAUCACUGAAUUGAGGGGAUUGUUCUGACACUUUACUGCUGGGACGUCGAGCCUCGUAUCACAAGCGCUUUGUUUGCUGACCUACAGGAUGCAACACAACACAAGCUAAAACUGAAAUAUGCCACAC
rnacentral:lncRNA from 1 species